rnacentral:rRNA from 1 species
AGAACGAACGCUGGCGGCAGGCUUAACACAUGCAAGUCGAACGCUCCGCAAGGAGAGUGGCAGACGGGUGAGUAACACGUGGGAACGUACCCUUUACUACGGAAUAACGCAUGGAAACGUGUGCUAAUACCGUAUGUGCCCUUCGGGGGAAAGAUUUAUCGGUAAAGGAUCGGCCCGCGUUGGAUUAGCUAGUUGGUGGGGUAAAGGCCUACCAAGGCGACGAUCCAUAGCUGGUCUGAGAGGAUGAUCAGCCACAUUGGGACUGAGACACGGCCCAAACUCCUACGGGAGGCAGCAGUGGGGAAUAUUGGACAAUGGGCGCAAGCCUGAUCCAGCCAUGCCGCGUGAGUGAUGAAGGCCCUAGGGUUGUAAAGCUCUUUCACCGGAGAAGAUAAUGACGGUAUCCGGAGAAGAAGCCCCGGCUAACUUCGUGCCAGCAGCCGC